ACGAACGCUGGCGGCGUGCUUAACACAUGCAAGUCGAACGGGGCGAUUGAAAGCUUGCUUUGAUGAGCCUAGUGGCAAACGGGUGAGUAACGCGUAGGCAACCUGCCCUCAGGAUGGGGACAACGGCCCGAAAGGACCGCUAAUACCGAAUGACGUAUCGGAAUCGCAUGAUACUGAUACCAAAGGCGGAGCAAUCCGUCACCUGAGGAUGGGCCUGCGUCUGAUUAGGUAGUUGGUGAGGGUAACGGCCCACCAAGCCGACGAUCAGUAGCCGGUCUGAGAGGAUGAACGGCCACAUUGGGACUGAGACACGGCCCAGACUCCUACGGGAGGCAGCAGGUGGGGAAUCUUCCGCAAGUGGGCGAAAGCCUGACGGAGCAACGCCGCGUGAGUGAAGGAAAGGUCUUCGGAUACGUAAAGCUCUGUUGGUCGGGGACGAAGGGGCAGAUCAGGAAAUGGGUCUGCUUAGACGGUACCUGACGAGGAAGCCACGGCUAACUACGUGCCAGCAGCUGC
rnacentral:rRNA from 1 species